rnacentral:rRNA from 1 species
UACGUAGGGGGCAAGCGUUGUCCGGAUUUAUUGGGCGUAAAGAGCGCGUAGGCGGCCAGACAGGUCCGUUGUGAAAACUCGAGGCUCAACCUCGAGAUGUCGAUGGAAACCGUUUGGCUAGAGUCCGGAAGAGGAGUGUGGAAUUCCUGGUGUAGCGGCGAAAUGCGCAGAUAUCAGGAAGAACACCUAUGGCGAAGGCAGCACUCUGGGACGGUACUGACGCUGAGACGCGAAAGCGUGGGGAGCGAACAGG